AUCACAUCGUUGGCCAUAUCACAUCACAAUCAUACCCUGCAAAAACAAGUUAGGCGUCCUCUAAUUUUGUUGUUGCAUGUUUUACGUGGUGACCAAGGGUAUCUAGUAGGAUCGCAUCUUACUUACGCAAACACCACAACGGAGAUAUAUGAGUUGCUAUUUAACCUCAUCCAAGGACCUCCUCGGUCAAAUCCGAUUCAACUAAAGUUGGAGAAACCGUCUCUUGCCAGUCAUCUUUGAGCAAAGGGGGUUACUUGUAACGAUGAAACCAGUCUCUCGUAAGCGUACGAGUAAUGUCGGUCCAAGCCGCUUCAAUCCAACAAUACCGCGGAAUCAAGAAAAGACUAAGGAGGGCAGCAAAACGCAC
rnacentral:lncRNA from 1 species